AUGCAGGAGCUGCAACGACCACAUGCGAGCGACUAUGCAGCCUGUCCGAUGUGCGGACAUGGGGAUGAAAGUCUCUAUCACUGUUUGAUACCAUGUGAUCACGCCAAGUUGUUUUGGGUGGAGGCAGAAACUGUAUUUGCUAUAAAGUUGCCCGGAUUCCAUCCACACACUUGGGCUACUGAUUUGCUCGAUGCUAGGUUGGUACCAAAGAAAGAUGCAGCUAUUGGCAUUACGGUGAUGUGGGCUAUUUGGAGCAGCCGGAACAGGUUCACUCACCAUGAAGAAAGAUAUCAACCAAAGCGAUCCAUGGGGGUUAUUUCUGAAAUCGUCGGGACACUGGAGCUUCCCCCCACGACACGUAGAUCUGCUGUUUAUGAGCAGCAGUGA
rnacentral:rRNA from 1 species